rnacentral:rRNA from 1 species
GGUCAGCGACUUAUAUUCUGUAGCAAGGUUAACCGAAUAGGGGAGCCGGAGGGAAACCGAGUCUUAAUUGGGCGUUAAGUUGCAGGGUAUAGACCCGAAACCCGGUGAUCUAGCCAUGGGCAGGUUGAAGGUUGGGUAACACUAACUGGAGGACCGAACCGACUAAUGUUGAAAAAUUAGCGGAUGACCUGUGGCUGGGGGUGAAAGGCCAAUCAAACCGGGAGAUAGCUGGUUCUCCCCGAAAGCUAUUUAGGUAGCGCCUCGUGAAUUCAUCUCCGGGGGUAGAGCACUGUUUCGGCUAGGGGGCCAUCCCGGCUUACCAACCCGAUGCAAACUGCGAAUACCGGAGAAUGUUAUCACGGGAGACACACGGCGGGUGCUAACGUCCGUCGUGAAGAGGGAAACAACCCAGACCGCCAGCUAAGGUCCCAAAGUCAUGGUUAAGUGGGAAACGAUGUGGGAAGGCCCAGACAGCCAGGAUGUUGGCUUAGAAGCAGCCAUCAUUUAAAGAAAGCGUAAUAGCUCACUGGUCGAGUCGGCCUGCGCGGAAGAUGUAACGGGGCUAAACCAUGCACCGAAGCUGCGGCAGCGAACGUAUCACUUAAAGCGAUUCAGCGGGUUACGAUUGACGGAGCGAAGCGACGUCAAAGCGUAUACAAAGUCGAGUCGGUUUAAGGAUACGUUCGUUGGGUAGGGGAGCGUUCUGUAAGCCUGUGAAGGUGUGUCGUGAGGCAUGCUGGAGGUAUCAGAAGUGCGAAUGCUGACAUAAGUAACGAUAAAGCGGGUGAAAAGCCCGCUCGCCGGAAGACCAAGGGUUCCUGUCCAACGUUAAUCGGGGCAGGGUGAGUCGACCCCUAAGGCGAGGCCGAAAGGCGUAGUCGAUGGGAAACGGGUUAAUAUUCCCGUACUUGGUGUUACUGCGAAGGGGGGACGGAGAAGGCUAUGUUGGCCGGGCGACGGUUGUCCCGGUUUAAGCGUGUAGGUGUGUGUUCCAGGUAAAUCCGGUUCACUUUAACACUGAGGCGUGACGACGAGGCACUACGGUGCUGAAGCAACAAAUGCCCUGCUUCCAGGAAAAGCCUCUAAGCAUCAGGUAACAUCAAAUCGUACCCCAAACCGACACAGGUGGUCAGGUAGAGAAUACCAAGGCGCUUGAGAGAACUCGGGUGAAGGAACUAGGCAAAAUGGUGCCGUAACUUCGGGAGAAGGCACGCUGACAC